rnacentral:rRNA from 1 species
GACAGAGGAUGCAAGCGUUAUCCGGAAUGAUUGGGCGUAAAGCGUCUGUAGGUGGCUUUUUAAGUCCGCCGUCAAAUCCCAGGGCUCAACCCUGGACAGGCGGUGGAAACUACCAAGCUGGAGUACGGUAGGGGCAGAGGGAAUUUCCGGUGGAGCGGUGAAAUGCGUAGAUAUCGUCUGGAACGCCAAAGGUGAAGACAGUCUGCUGGGGACUUGCUGACGCUGAGACACGAAAGCCAGGGGAGCGAACGGG